rnacentral:lncRNA from 1 species
UAUUGGGAGGCUUGCUCUUGACAAGUAUUGAGGUUGAUCCUGUUAUGGAUAUUUGCAUAAAGCCACUAGAAGGAUGGAAGACCAGUGAGGUUACAUAGUAUAUGCUCAAGAUUGUGGGAUUUGAAAUCUGUGCUGCUGCAUUGCUGGGCACGUAUUGGAGGAUUGGAGAAGUCUUGAGAGGAAGAAGGAGAGGGAAAAGGAGCAAUUGCAACCAAGGCUGUCCAGUUGGGGUAUGCAAUCACGAGAUUCAGAAAAGAGAUCAGCUCCUUCAAAAUUCUGGCUAGACAUUCCAUAUUGUGGGUUUGUAUAAAAGAAAGCCCGUGAUAGUUGCCAUUCCUUUUCUGUUAGUGGUUCUGUUCCAGCCAUUGCUGUAAAAAAA